UUUGCAGAAACUGAACCAGCUGGCAAAAACAGAAUAUGGUCAAUGAGAUAAAUGUGUGAUAAAGCAGGAAGGAAAGAGCAGCUCACCAUUAACUGAUGUGAUAAAAAAUUAGCUUCUGAAUAGGGCAUGAAGCAGGGGAGCUUUUUACUGCAUCUG
rnacentral:lncRNA from 1 species